GAGGUUAUAGCUCAGUGGUAGAGCACAUGCUUAGCAUGCAUGAGGUCCUGGGUUCAAUCCUCAUUCCUCC
rnacentral:tRNA from 1 species